GACGAACGCUGGCGGCGUGCCUAAUACAUGCAAGUUGAGCGCUGAAGGUUGGUACUUGUACCCACUGGAUGAGCAGCGAACGGGUGAGUAACGCGUGGGGAAUCUGCCUUUGAGCGGGGGACAACAUUUGGAAACGAAUGCUAAUACCGCAUAAAAACUUUAAACACAAGUUUUAAGUUUGAAAGAUGCAAUUGCAUCACUCAAAGAUGAUCCCGCGUUGUAUUAGCUAGUUGGUGAGGUAAAGGCUCACCAAGGCGGUGAUACAUAGCCGACCUGAGAGGGUGAUCGGCCACAUUGGGACUGAGACACGGCCCAAACUCCUACGGGAGGCAGCAGUAGGGAAUCUUCGGCAAUGGACGAAAGUCUGACCGAGCAACGCCGCGUGAGUGAAGAAGGUUUUCGGAUCGUAAAACUCUGUUGGUAGAGAAGAACGUUGGUGAGAGUGGAAAGCUCAUCAAGUGACGGUAACUACCCAGAAAGGGACGGCUAACUACGUG
rnacentral:rRNA from 1 species